CCUACGGGCGGCAGCAGUGGGGAAUAUUGGACAAUGGGGGGAACCCUGAUCCAGCCAUGCCGCGUGUGUGAAGAAGGCCCUCGGGUUGUAAAGCACUUUCAGUGAGGAAGAACGCCUGGUGGUUAAUACCCAUCAGGAAAGACAUCACUCACAGAAGAAGCACCGGCUAACUCCGUGCCAGCAGCCGCGGUAAUACGGAGGGUGCGAGCGUUAAUCGGAAUUACUGGGCGUAAAGCGCGCGUAGGUGGCUUGAUAAGCCGGUUGUGAAAGCCCCGGGCUCAACCUGGGAACGGCAUCCGGAGAUGUCAAGCUAGAGUGCAGGAGAGGAAGGUAGAAUUGCCGGUGUAGGGGUGAAAUGCGUAGAGAUCGGGAGGAAUACCAGUGGCGAAGGCGGCCUUCUGGACUGACACUGACACUGAGGUGCGAAAGCGUGGGUAGCAAGCAGGAUUAGCUACCCGAGUAGUC
rnacentral:rRNA from 1 species